AUCAUUCAUUAUUAAUUACUUCCCACUGUUAACUGGGCUAGCUGGUAUUGAAGAUGUGCUAGCGGCUUGGCUAAAGAUGCAAAUGACAAGAGUACAGAGAGUGGUCAGGGGCCAAACCAGCCAAGAGCACCAGGAGGAGCCAGUCCUCUCCCUACGUGGGCUCCCAGGGCCAGGCGGGCCAGCUGACUCCUGAGACCAGCUACCAGGCUGCCUUCAGCGGGGAGAGCCACCGGCCCACCCCCUCCGUCCCCACCACCACCACCACCACCACCAGCGUCCCCGCUGCACCGCCUGGCUCUGUGAUGCAGCCCUGCACACCGACCCUGACCCCUCUCCUCCAGAGCGGGCGUACUGGAUCAGCAGCCCCCCCCGGCCUCAGGCAGAACCAACUCUCCGAGAGGAACGACCUCAGCACAGAGGACAACCUCGUGAGGACUAAGCUGUCUCCAAACCCCUCCGCUCUUUCUCAUAGUGGCUCCCGAGUCUUCAACAUCUGACCGACAUAAAAACACCACAGAAAACAACGAGCACCAGCCAAUCCGCUCCGGCCGGCUGAGAUCCCCCGCACCAACAAGGAAGAAUUGUCCUCCGUUCAUUCCACACACCAUUAUUAAUCUAUGCAAGGGGGACUGUAGGCUGGGACUGUAUAGUGUGAGCCAGUGGGGG
ensembl:lncRNA